rnacentral:rRNA from 1 species
GACGAACGCUGGCGGCGUGCUUAACACAUGCAAGUCGAACGGAAAGGCCCUGCUUUUGUGGGGUGCUCGAGUGGCGAACGGGUGAGUAACACGUGAGUAACCUGCCCUUGACUUUGGGAUAACUUCAGGAAACUGGGGCUAAUACCGGAUAGGAGUUCCUGCUGCAUGGUGGGGGUUGGAAAGUUUCGGCGGUUGGGGAUGGACUCGCGGCUUAUCAGCUUGUUGGUGGGGUAGUGGCUUACCAAGGCCUUGACGGGUAGCCGGCCUGAGAGGGUGACCGGCCACAUUGGGACUGGGAUACGGCCCAGACUCCUACGGGAGGCAGCAGUGGGGAAUAUUGCACGAUGGGCGGAAGCCUGAUGCAGCAACGCCGCGUGCGAGAUGACGGCCUUCGGGUUGUAAACCGCUUUAGCCUGUGACGAAGCGUGAGUGACGGUAAUGGGUAAAGAAGCACCGGCUAACUACGUG